GACGAACGCUGGCGGCGUGCUUAACACAUGCAAGUCGAACGGAAAGGCCCUGCUUUUGUGGGGUGCUCGAGUGGCGAACGGGUGAGUAACACGUGAGUAACCUGCCCUUGACUUUGGGAUAACUUCAGGAAACUGGGGCUAAUACCUGAUAGGAGCUCCUGCUGCAUGGUGGGGGUUGGAAAGUUUCGGCGGUUGGGGAUGGACUCGCGGCUUAUCAGCUUGUUGGUGGGGUAGUGGCUUACCAAGGCUUUGACGGGUAGCCGGCCUGAGAGGGUGACCGGCCACAUUGGGACUGAGAUACGGCCAAGACUCCUACGGGAGGCAGCAGUGGGGAAUAGUGCACAAUGGGCGGAAGCCUGAUGCAGCAACGCCGCGUGCGGGAUGACGGCCGUCGGGUUGUAAACCGCUUUCGCCUGUGACGAAGCGUGAGUGACGGUAAUGGGUAAAGAAGCACCGGCAAACUACGU
rnacentral:rRNA from 1 species